rnacentral:lncRNA from 1 species
GCAAUCGAAGAAGGAAGAGAAGGGAGGAAGGAGAUGGGCCUAAUGGAUUUGGGUUUUGGGUCCCAACCCGAUCUGAAAUCUGGCAUAGAUCUAUAUAUUUAAACAGAGAAUCUUGCAUUUAGGCCCUUGAUAAAGGCUAUAUUCAAUUAAGCCCUUUUGACAAUUGACUGAACCAGACCAUGUUGAGUUAAUUUAGUUU